AUUUAUAUAGUUUAAUAUAAAACAUUACAUUUUCAUUGUAAAAAUAAAAAAAAUUUUUUAUAAAUA
rnacentral:tRNA from 3 species